rnacentral:rRNA from 1 species
AGCAGCCGCGGUAAUUCCAGCUCCAAUAGCGUAUAUUAAAGUUGUUGCAGUUAAAAAGCUCGUAGUUGAACUUCAGGCCUGUCCAGAUGGUCCGCCUUAAUUGGUGUGUACUGUCCUUGGGUGGGUCCUACCUUCUGGCGAAGCGGCAUGGCCUUAGUUGGUUGUGUUGGGGAAGCAGGACUUUUACUGUGAAAAAAUUAGAGUGUUCAAAGCAGGCAUAUAUGCUCGAAUACAUUAGCAUGGAAUAAUGGAAUAGGACGAUGGUUCUAUUUUGUUGGUUCUAGGACCGUUGUAAUGAUUAAUAGGGAUAGUUGGGGGCAUUAGUAUUCAAUUGUCAGAGGUGAAAUUCUUGGAUUUAUUGAAGACUAACUACUGCGAAAGCAUUUGCCAAGGAUGUUUUCAUUAAUCAAGAACGAAAGUUAGGGGAUCGAAGACGAUCAGAUACCGUCGUAGUCUUAACCAUAAACUAUGCCGACUAGGAAUCGGGCGAUGUUGACAAAAUGACUCGCUCGGCACCUCAUG